UACAGAGGUCUCAAGCGUUGUUCGGAUUCAUUGGGCGUAAAGGGUGUGUAGGCGGCCAUGUAAGUCGGAUGUGAAAGCCCCAGGCUCAACCUGGGAAGUGCACUCGAUACUGCGUGGCUUGAGUAUCGGAGAGGUUGGUGGAAUUCUCGGUGUAGAGGUGAAAUUCGUAGAUAUCGAGAGGAACACCGGUGGCGAAGGCGGCCAACUGGACGAAUACUGACGCUGAGACACGAAAGCGUGGGGAGCAAACAGG
rnacentral:rRNA from 1 species